GCCGAAGUGGCGGAAAUGGAAGACGCGCUACAUUCAGGGUGUAGUGGGCGAAAGCCCGUAGGGGUUCGACUCCCCUCUUCGGCA
rnacentral:tRNA from 1 species